ACACGCUCUUAUCUUUCUUGGAUCCUCCCGCUUCAAACAAGUUUUGAAAACCCUAAUCCCAAUUCAAAAUUCAAACACGCCCUUCUCUUUCUUGGUUCUCUCUCUCAAAUUCAGAUAUUCGAAUGUCAUUCAGCCUCACCCUCUCUCGUUACUCUCCAUUGAUCGGAGGAGUUUGUGGUGCAAGAUUUCACAUCGCCUUCUCUGUUUGACAUGGAAGGGUUCUUAUCAGAUUUUCUGAUGGAUACCCAAAUGGGUGGAGAAUCAUUUUCGCUCUCUCAUCACCAUCCUUACUUCUCCCUCUCCCUCUCUACUGAAAAGUUAGGUUUUUUUUUCAACUUCAGUUCACCCAAAACCCUAAAACCUCCAAUGUGCUCUAAUUCAUCAGGGAAAUCUCAGUCGAUGGUUCCUCCUUACAUUGUACUAAAGGUUUAAUUUGCUUAAUUUUUGUUUUUUCUUUUCGCCUGUGGAUAAAAUGAAUUUAGUUGGUGAUUUCGAAGCUUAAAGUGGGUUUAGUUUUCUUUAUUGUUGUUGUUGUUGUUAAUAUCUCCUGUUUGGGUUUCUUCCUCUAAGAUGCAGAUUGAUUUGGCUUCACACAUUGUUAGGGUUGUGUCGACUUUGAAGAUUGCUUAAACAUGUGACAAAUUACAGUGAGUCUAACAUGUGGUCGUUGCUUGGAGGGUUCCAAUAGCGAGGGUCAGAUGAUCCACACUUGAGUAAUUCUCAUGAUUUUAUUGAUGAUGCUGGAAACAUAAGAAGUGGCUACAAAAAAGAUGCCCUUGUUGAUUUGAAUAGAGCAGAGGUGGCUUUGCUUGAAAAAGUUUUUGAACCUAAUAUGGAAACAUAGAUUGAAGCUGCACAAUAUAAUGCAGAGUUACAAAGGGUGGUGAGAUAUUUGGGAGUUAGUAAAGAAAAUAUACAAGAAGGAUCACUUCGUUGUGAUGUCAAUGUUUUGUCCGUAUAGUUAGUUAAUUAGAAUUUGUCACUAAGGUACUUAAUAUCGACCCGCUUACGUAUUCUUGGAUUGAUUGGGUUGUGUUUUAUCUUGAAUGGUCCAUAUAGAGAAAUAUUAUUAUU